UACGAAGGGGGCUAGCGUUGCUCGGAAUCACUGGGCGUAAAGGGUGCGUAGGCGGGUCUUUAAGUCAGGGGUGAAAUCCUGGAGCUCAACUCCAGAACUGCCUUUGAUACUGAAGAUCUUGAGUUCGGGAGAGGUGAGUGGAACUGCGAGUGUAGAGGUGAAAUUCGUAGAUAUUCGCAAGAACACCAGUGGCGAAGGUGGCUCACUGGCCCGAUACUGGACGCUGAUGCACGAAAGCGUGGGGAGCAAACAGG
rnacentral:rRNA from 1 species